rnacentral:rRNA from 1 species
CACGUAGGGUGCGAGCGUUGUCCGGAAUUAUUGGGCGUAAAGAGCUCGUAGGCGGUGUGUCGCGUCGGCCGUGAAAACCUGCAGCUUAACUGUGGGCUUGCGGUCGAUACGGGCAUCACUGGAGUUCGGCAGGGGAGACUGGAAUUCCUGGUGUAGCGGUGAAAUGCGCAGAUAUCAGGAGGAACACCGGUGGCGAAGGCGGCAUCCUGGACCGAGAUUGACGCUGAUGAGCGAAAGCUAGGGGAGCAAACGGG